GAUGAACGCUGGCGGCGUGCCUAGUACAUGCAAGUCGAGCGAAUGGAUUAAGAGCUUGCUCUUAUGAAGUUAGCGGCGGACGGGUGAGUAACACGUGGGUAACCUGCCCAUAAGACUGGGAUAACUCCGGGAAACCGGGGCUAAUACCGGAUAACAUUUUGAACCGCAUGGUUCGAAAUUGAAAGGCGGCUUCGGCUGUCACUUAUGGAUGGACCCGCGUCGCAUUAGCUAGUUGGUGAGGUAACGGCUCACCAAGGCAACGAUGCGUAGCCGAACGGAGAGGGUGGUCGGCCAUACUGGGACUGAGACACGGCCCAGACUCCUACGGGAGGUAGCAGUAGGGAAUCUUACGCAAUGGACGAAAGUCUGACGGAGCAACGCCGCGUGGGUGAUGAAGGCUUUCGGGUCGUAAAACUCUGUUGUUAGGGAAGAACAAGUGCUAGUUGAAUAAGCUGGCACCUUGACGGUACCUAACCAGAAAGCCACGGCUAACUACGUGCCAGCCGCCGCCGUAA
rnacentral:rRNA from 1 species